rnacentral:rRNA from 1 species
UACGGGGGGGCUAGCGUUGUUCGGAAUUACUGGGCGUAAAGGGCGCGUAGGCGGUCUGCUAAGUUGGAUGUGAAACUCUGGGCUUAACCCCGGGUCUGCAUUCGAUACGGGCAGGCUAGAGUCGGUAGGGAGAUCGGAAGUUCCCGGUGUGAGCGGUGGAAUGCGUAGAGAGUCGGGAAGAACAUCAGUGGCGAAGGCGGCCUGCUGG